UCGAACGUUCCAAUCGGAUCCCAAAAUCGAUUCCAAUCCAGUCCGCCCAAACCCUGACCCGACUCUCCAUCAUGGAAGGAGGCUCGACUGCCGGUGGAGGCGGUGGCCCGGCGCCGUUUCUGCUGAAGACGUACAACAUGGUGGACGAUUCCGCGACGGACGAGAUCGUGUCGUGGAGCUCGAACAAGAAGAGCUUCGUCGUCUGGAACCCGCCCGAGUUCGCCCGGGUUCUGCUCCCCACCUAUUUCAAGCACAACAACUUCUCCAGCUUCAUUCGUCAACUCAAUACAUACGGAUUUCGAAAGAGUGAUCCUGAGAGAUGGGAAUUUGCUAAUGAAGACUUCAUACAAGAUCAGAAGCAUCUUCUUAAGCAUAUCCACCGCAGAAAACCCAUUCACAGCCACAGCAAUCCUCAAGGUUCUAUGGUUGAUCCUGAAAGAGCAGCUCUUGAUGACGAGAUAGAGAAGCUUUCAAAUGAUAAAGCUGCACUUGAGGCAAGUAUUUCAACAUUCAAACAGCAGCGAUCUGCUGCAAAGCUUCAGUUGGAAAACUUAGCACAGCGGGUGAGUGGUAUGGAACAACGGCAGAAGAAUUUGCUGACAUUCUUAGAUGAGGCUGUUCACAACCCUAAUUUUAUUGAACACCUCUCUAGAAAAUUUGAAUCUAUGGAUUUCUCAGCAUAUAAUAAGAAAAGGCGAUUGCCUGACAUUGAAAACCUACAGCCAGUCGUGGAGAAUGGUUUUGUGGAUAACCAAAGUAGUUCCAUAUCUGAGUUUGGAAAUGUUUUCCACCAAGACUUCUCAAGUAAACUUAGACUAGAAUUAUCACCAGCUGUUUCAGACAUGAACUUGGUUUCGCUUAGCACGCAGAGUUCCAAUGAAGAUGGGGGUAGCUCAACUAGGAAAAUAUCUGAAGAACUUAAAGGAGCACAGAUGAGAACAGAAGGGCUUUUAUUUGCACCUGAAACCUUAGAACUUUCAGAUACCGGAACAUCUUUUGCAUUCAAAAUGGAUUCGUUGUUAUCGCGGAAGGCACCAACUGUUGGAAGCCCUAUACGUCAUUCCUUGCAGCCAGGUUUGCCUUCUAAUGAAGAAGGUGAUGGUAAUAUAUCCUGCCAGUUAAAUCUCACUCUUGCAUCUACUCCAUCGCAAGUCAAUAAUAGUCCUUACUCAGCUGCAGUACCCCAAGUAGGUCAGGAUAUCAACAAAUCUGCAGCAUCAGAGCUAAAUGACAAGGGCAAAGAACCAGAUUUAAGAGCCUUUACAAACAAAAAUCUAGCUGAUGAUGACAAACCUAAAACUUCCUCCCAAGAAGCCACACAUAACAAUCAAGCGCCUGCUCUGGUUCCUGUUAGAGUAAACGAUGUUUUCUGGGAACAGUUCCUAACUGAAAGACCUGGCUGUUCAGAGAAUGAAGAAGCGAGUUCUAAUUAUAGGGGAAAUCCAUAUGAUGAGCAAGAUGAUGGAAGGUUCGGCCAUGGAAUGUCCAGAACAGUCAAGGAUGCGGAAACACUCACUCUUUAAGUACUGCAGUCGUGGUGAAGCCCUGAUCCAGGUUCACGACAAAGCUCUCUCCCAUCUCCCUUGAUUUGUCUCUGUUCUACAUUCCAACAAUCAGAAUACAUCGAUUGUUCAAGCAGUUAUGUUGACAACUAGUUUACAUUCUCGUAAACACCAUGCGCUUGGCCCCUUAUUCUGUCAUCGCCCGCUCUUUAGAUUUAAUUUGGUUUCCGGAUGUGUAGAGAUGUAUUGAGAUUGUGUGAAAUCUAAUCUGCUUUUUUGGGUAUGCUCAUUUAGUACCUUUUUUUCCGCAUUGCUCAAGUUUUCCUCAAUUUGGUUCAAUAUUUGGUGUGUUUUCAUAAAUGGUCAAUAUACAAUACUGUAGCAACUAUAUUUAUGUUAAUAGCCGGCUUCGAAUCGUCGUAAUAUGAUAGUUAUGCAGAUUUCUUGUUA